rnacentral:rRNA from 1 species
AUUGAACGCUGGCGGCAUGCUUUACACAUGCAAGUCGGACGGCAGCACAGAGAAGCUUGCUUCUUGGGUGGCGAGUGGCGAACGGGUGAGUAACAUAUCGGAACGUACCGAGCAGUGGGGGAUAACUAAUCGAAAGAUUAGCUAAUACCGCAUAUCUUCUGAGGAAGAAAGCAGGGGACCAUUUGGCCUUGCGCUGUUUGAGCGGCCGCUAUCUGAUUAGCUAGUUGGUGGGGUAAAGGCCUACCAAGGCGACGAUCAGUAGCGGGUCUGAGAGGAUGAUCGCCCACAGUGGAACGGAGACACGCCCCAGACUCCAGCGGGGGGCACAAGUGGGAAUUUUUGAGCAAGGGGCGAAAGCCUGACCCAGCAAUGCCGCGUGUGGAAAGAGGGCCUUCGGGUUGAAAAGCUCUUUUGUAAGGAAAGAAAAGGGGGGUAUGAAUCCCCGUGCGUGAUGACGGUACCUAAACAAAAAGCCCGGGCUAACUACGUG